GAGUAAAGUGGCGCACGGGUGAGUAACGCGUGGAUAAUCUGCCCUUAUGAUCGGGAUACAGUUGAAACGGCUGCUAAUACCGGAUACGACUCAAAAUGAACUUUUUGAGGAAAGAUGGCCUCUGCUUGCAUGCUAUCACGUAAGGAUGAGUCCGCGUCCCAUUAGCUUGUUGGCGGGGUAACGGCCCACCAAGGCAACGAUGGGUAGCCGAUUUGGGAGGAUGAUCGGCCACACUGGAACUGAAACACGGUCCAGACUCCUACGGGAGGCAGCAGUGGGGAAUAUUGCGCAAUGGGCGAAAGCCUGACGCAGCGACGCCGCGUGAGGGAAUGAAGGUUUUCGGAUCGUAAACCUCUGUCUAGAAGGGAAGAAACUACGUUGUGCUAAUCAGCAGCGUACUGACGGUACCUUCAAAGGAAGCACCGGCUAACUCCGUGCCAGCCGCCGC
rnacentral:rRNA from 1 species